rnacentral:rRNA from 1 species
GUAGUUUGCCGGAGCUUCCUCUCAGGGUACCGUCAUUUCUUUCGUCCCCUGUCACAGAAGUUUACAACCCGAAGGCCUUCUUCCUUCACGCGGCGUUGCUGGGUCAGGGUUUCCCCCAUUGCCCAAUAUUCCCCCCUGCUGCCUCCCGUAGGAGUCUGGACCGUAUCUCAGUUCCAGUGUGGCCGUUCAGCCUCUCAGCUCGGCUACCCAUCGUUGUCUUGGUGGGCCGUUACCCCGCCAACUAACUAAUGGGACGCGAACCCGUCCUAUACCGGAUUUCUCCUUUGACCCCUUCGUCAUGUGACAUUGUGGUCUUAUGCGGUAUUAGCAGCCGUUUCCAGCUGUUGUCCCCCUGUAUAGGGUUGGUUGUUCACGCGUUACUCACCCGUCCGCCACUCGGGAAUGACCGAAGCCAUUCCCUCGUUCGACUUGCAUGGGUUAGGCACGCCGCCAGCGUUCGUCCUGAGCCAGAAUCAAACUCUGA